UGCAGUCGAACGAAGCAAUUGCGACAGAAGCCUUCGGGUGGAAGAUGUAAUUGACUGAGUGGCGGACGGGUGAGUAACGCGUGGGUAACCUGCCUUGUACAGGGGGAUAACAGUUAGAAAUGACUGCUAAUACCGCAUAAGCGCACAGUAUCGCAUGGUACAGUGUGAAAAACUCCGGUGGUACAAGAUGGACCCGCGUCUGAUUAGCUAGUUGGUAAGGUAACGGCUUACCAAGGCAACGAUCAGUAGCCGACUUGAGAGAGUGAUCGGCCACAUUGGGACUGAGACACGGCCCAAACUCCUACGGGAGGCAGCAGUGGGGAAUAUUGCACAAUGGGGGAAACCCUGAUGCAGCGACGCCGCGUGAGUGAAGAAGUAUUUCGGUAUGUAAAGCUCUAUCAGCAAGGAAGAUAAUGACGGUACUUGACUAAGAAGCCCCGGCUAACUACGUGCCAGCAGCCGCGGUAAUACGUAGGGGGCAAGCGUUAUCCGGAUUUACUGGGUGUAAAGGGAGCGUAGACGGUAUGGUAAGUCAGAUGUGAAAGCCCGGGGCUUAACCCCGGAACUGCAUUUGAAACUAUCAAACUAGAGUGUCGGAGAGGUAAGUGGAAUUCCUAGUGUAGCGGUGAAAUGCGUAGAUAUUAGGAGGAACACCAGUGGCGAAGGCGGCUUACUGGACGAUAACUGACGUUGAGGCUCGAAAGCGUGGGGAGCAAACAGGAUUA
rnacentral:rRNA from 1 species